GAAAUGCGAUAAGUAAUGUGAAUUGCAGAAUUCUGUGAAUCAUCGAAUCUUUGAACGCACAUUGCGCCCUCUGGCAUUCCGGGGGGCAUGCCUGUCCGAGCGUCAUUACGCACCCUCAAGCCCGGCUUGUGUGAUGGGCCCUGGCGUCUCGUUCGCGAGACGGGCCCGAAAGGCAGCGGCGGCGUCGACCCGAUGAGCCCGAGCGUAUGGGGACUUUUGUCACACGUUUGCGGUGCGGACCGGCGCCUGCUUGACUUUUCUGAUUAUCCAGGUUGACCUCGGAUCAGGUAGGGAUACCCGCUGAACUUAAGC
rnacentral:misc_RNA from 1 species